UACGUAGGGACCGAGCGUUGUCCGGAAUCAUUGGGCGUAAAGAGUGUGUAGGCGGCCACUUAAGUCCUGCGUGAAAUCUUGCGGCUCAACCGCAAGCGGUCGUGGGAAACUGGGUGGCUAGAGUGCGGGAGAGGAGAGUGGAAUUCCUGGUGUAGCGGUGGAAUGCGCAGAUAUCAGGAGGAACACCAAUGGCGAAGGCAGCACUCUGGGACGUGACUGACGCUGAGACGCGAAAGCGUGGGGAGCAAACAGG
rnacentral:rRNA from 1 species